rnacentral:rRNA from 1 species
AACACAUGCAAGUCGAACGAGUAACGGAUUUUAGUUUACUAAAAUUGUCAGCUAAGUGGCGCACGGGUGAGUAAUAUAUAGUUAACCUGCCCCAAAGAAGAGAAUAAUUGAUGGAAACGUCUUGUAACUCUCUAUAUGCCUUUAUCACAUAAGUGAGCAAGGGAAACAUUUAUGGCUUUGGGAUGGGACUGUACGGUAUCAGAUAGUUGGUGAGGUAAUGGCUCACCAAGUCAAUGACGCCUAACUGGUUUGAGAGGAUGAUCAGUCACACUGGAACUGAGACACGGUCCAGACUCCUACGGGAGGCAGCAGUGGGGAAUAUUGCACAAUGGAGGAAACUCUGAUGCAGCAACGCCGCGUGGAGGAUGACACAUUUCGGUGCGUAAACUCCUUUUAUAUGAGAAGAUAAUGACGGUAUCAUAUGAAUAAGCACCGGCUAACUCCGUGCCAGCAGCCGCGGUAAUACGGGGGGUGCAAGCGUUACUCGGAAUCACUGGGCGUAAAGAGCAUGUAGGCU